ensembl:snoRNA
GGCACUUGUGCAUGUUUGUCCUAAUUUGUGGACUUAAUGGACAGGUGCAAAAAAUAAAUCCUCUUUUGCAUCCCAGAACUCAUUGUUUAGCCUGAGUUUUGAUACAUAUAAGAAGGAAUGUU